rnacentral:lncRNA from 1 species
UUAUGACAACUUCCGGAGGACGUCCUCCAGCCUAUCGUACUGAAAGCAUAAGCUACAGCUAGCUAGCACUGCAUUGUAUAAAAUGUGGUGAGUAGUUGACUCAAAGAGAGAGAAAGGCAAUAGUUGAACAGUUUUUAACAAAUUAAUUUAUACCAAAAUGAAGGAGAAGCAGAGAUCUCUUUUUUUCACUUACUUAGCUAGAAAAUGCAGCUAGCCAGUUUAGUCUACUGAAACACCCUGCUCAAACAGAGGGAUGCUUUGUUAGGUAGCUGGCUGCGACUUUCCAACACAACACUGGAACUCUUCCAAGUCAAGGUAGAUGCAGGCAAGAGUGUGCAAGGCGGUAUUGUCUGUUGUAGCAACCUCAUGAUGGGUACAGGGAAAAUUCUGGAGCACAGAGGCCGCUUGAGGAGCACAGAGGCCGCUUGAGGAGCACAGAGGCCGCUUGAGGGAGGAUGCUAGAAUGAUGGCGGCUAAAGCAGGCAUGAGUGCUUCGUCGACUGUGCUUCGUGCGGAUUCUGGUGGGCGGGACGAGGAAUCUGGGGCUCAGGAUGUAAACAAACAAGACCCCGAAGUAUUCCGGCGGCAUGAAACACACGCCAUGGUCCCAGGGUCUGCUGGGGGUGUGGCCAGCCAGGCCAUCUGCGCCAGGAUUGGACCCCUGGCUUUCUUUCCCAACCACCAUCCUCUUCAGGAGGAGCCCACCGGCACAGACUGGGAAGCAAGGCUCCACUUCCUCCAGAAGCAGACGAGGGCAAGCUGAUGGAGCCUGUUGUUAUGGUGGGUCGGACCUGUGUUGGGGACUUUUGUCAUGUCCCUGUCACUGUGGAGGGGGUGCCCUGCUCUGCCCUGGUGGACACUGGGUCCACAGUAACCCUGGUAAGGCCGGAUAUUGUGCCAGGUUGGACUCCACAACUGUGCAGCUCCGCACAGUCACAGGUGAGCUGGCACCCAUG